CUCUGCUGGGCCGGGUUUAACAAGUCCAUCACAGCUCCCAGGCCGGCACUCUGCCCCAGUGGUCUCUGCUGGGCCGGGUUUAACAAGUCCAUCACAGCUCCCAGGCCGGCACUCUGCCCCAGUGGUCUCUGCUGGGCCGGGUUUAACAAUCCAUCACAGCUCCCAGGCCGGCACUCUGCCCCAGUGGUCUCUGCUGGGCCGGGUUUAACAAGUCCAUCACAGCUCCCAGGCCGGCACUCUGCCCCAGUGGUCUCUGCUGGGCCGGGUUUAACAAUCCAUCACAGCUCCCAGGCCAGCACUCUGCCCCAGUGGUCUCUGCUGGGCUGGGUUUAACAAGUCCAUCACAGCUCCCAGGCCAGCACUCUGCCCCAGUGGUCUCUGCUGGGCCGGGUUUCUUGUGGAGCGCAGGGAAACUUGACAAACCCUCACACAGCGUCCCCUUGAUAAUCCUGCUGAUGGUCUGUUGUGGCGGCCCGAGUCACCUCUGCUGCACUGUGCCGGGGCAAGGUGGCUCGGGGCAGGCGGCACUGUUCACUGUGGUUUUGGCUGCUGCACUGUGCCGGGGCAAGGUGGCUCGGGGCAGACGGCACUGUUCACUGUGGUGUUGGCUGCUGCACUGUGCCGGGGCAAGAUGGCUUGGGGCAGGCGGCACUGUUCACUGUGCUUGUUGGC